GUGUAAAUGAAAUACUAUCCAACCACAAAAGAAGAAUGAAAUCUGUUUGUGACAUCAUGUUUGGAUGUAGAUAGCAUUAGGUUAUGGGAAAUAAAUCAGAGAAAUGCCAUAUGACCUGUCUUAUAUGUGGAAUCUUAAAAACAAAAAUCAAAAGAACAACAAAAAAAUGAAACUCAUGGAUACACAUAUCGGUUGGUAGUUACCAGAGACAGGGUGGUGGGUGGGAGAAAUGACUGAAGGGAAUAGAAAUUUAUGAAAAAAUUAAAAAAAAAAACAAAAACCAGAAGCACAGUGCUAUGCAUUCACCAUUAAUGUGUCAUACAAAGUAACUCAUCAGCUUAGAAACUCCCCUCUGCUUACAUUCCCCAUCUGUUCCUACAUGUUGUCUACCUUUCCUGUUAGAACCAUAUUUAAAAACAAAUGAAGUAAAUGAGUCAAAUAAAACAGAAGGGCAAUAAAAUAAGAUGAAUUCAAGAGUGUGGUUAAAGCUUUCAUGUUGCUAGGUCUUGUUAAUCGUGUCUUAACAGUGAACCAAAGCGUGGUGACACUGGCGGUUUUCAUCUUUCCACUCUACACUUGUGUGAGACUGAGCACAUGGUCUUACUGUUUUCUCUUCCUCUAAUGAUGGAAAACCGGCUUCUAUCACUAGAGGCAAUGUCUUCUAGAGCUGAGUCAAGGAGUAGAACUGGUGAUGAGGGAUAUAAACAUACUGUAUUCCUGAAUGAAGGUGACUGUUACACAGUUUAGAAUCUUUAAGUCACUGGCACUCAUAUUGCAGAAAAUACAAAUCAGUCUUACGAUUCAAACUGAUGUCUUCUUGUCUUGGGGAAGAGUAAAAUGCAUGUUGACUGGGCCGUCACUUAUCUUCUAUUUAGAAUUCUCCCUGUCCCUCUGUGCACAUAGAUAUGUAAAGGACAUGGAUAUUCUUUAAGCAAGGCUCGAGGGAAAAUAAAUGAAAACAGCUGUUGGUUUAGGGUGGUGGGAUUAUGGGCUUAUUUUUAUUUCAUCUUUAUGUUCUUUUUAAUGUGGUUUUAAGCAUCUUUGUGAUAUAAAUAGGAAAAAAUAUUAAAGGUUUAUUACAUGUCAAAUGUUACUAGCCUCCAGAGUAUUUGAAGUCUUUAGAGUUGAACCUCUCAUUAUGCAGACAUCCUCGUUCAAUCAUUCUGGCAAAGCAUUCUGGGAAGCAUAGAAUCCCAGUGGAGACACUGUUCUCACACAGUCACAAAGACCUUAAGAAGCAGAAUAACUUGCUGUGUGUAUUAAGAGUGUGAUCAGUAGCCUUUCAGCAAGAGGCACCAGGGCUGUCUUUCUGAGGAAGCAGAAGUCACCUUGUAUGUGGAAGAAUUUGAAGUCCGCCUAGUUGUCUGACUGUGGUCCCUCACCCCUGCACCUUGGCACUCUUCCUGGGGCUUUGUACAGUGACUGAUAGAACUUAGCGCUAAGCAUGAUUUUAUUGGGGUGGGCAGGAGCUCUCUGCCAUGAGCAAACGUCUUGAUCCUCUGAGUCAAGUUUGUAUGUCCUCAUUUGUCCUCUCCGGCCAGUGGAGCGCUUCCGAGACAUGAGUCCCGAAGAAGUGGCUGACUUGUUUCAGGCUGCACAGAGAGUCGGCACAGUGGUGGAGAAGCACUUCCAGGGCACCUCGCUCACGUUCUCCAUGCAGGAUGGCCCUGAAGCUGGACAGACGGUGAAGGUGAGUGCUUAUUAUGUACAUACAAAUUAAUAGGGAGUGAUUACGAGAACUAAUAAAAAAUCACACUGAGUCAUUUAGAGCACAUUACUGUUUCACUAUGUUAUCUUCGAGGUCAGAGAGACCCUUGGCGUUAGAGCCAUAAAUCCUGACAUUAUAAACU